GAUGAAGAACGCAGCGAAAUGCGAUAAGUAAUGUGAAUUGCAGAAUUCAGUGAAUCAUCGAAUCUUUGAACGCACAUUGCGCCCCUUGGUAUUCCGAGGGGCAUGCCUAUUCGAGCGUCAUUAUCACCCCUCAAGCUCCGGCUUGGUGUUGAGGCCUGCUGUAAAGGCACCCUCUAAAAUCAGUGGCAGUGCUGUCAGGCUCUAAGCGUAGUAAUUCUCUCGCUACAGGGUCCCGGUGGACACUCGCCAGAACCCCCCCAUUUUUUAAUGAUUGACCUCGGAUUAGGUAGGGAUACCCGCUGAACUUAAGCAUAUCAAUAAGCGGAGGA
rnacentral:misc_RNA from 1 species